rnacentral:rRNA from 1 species
AGGACGACGCUGGCGGCGUGCUUAAUACAUGCAAGUCGAGCGAGGCCUUGGAAUUGGAGUCCUUCGGGAUGAAGAGUCCUUGGCCUAGCGGCGGACGGGUGAGUAACGCGUGAGCAACCUGCCUUACAGAGGGGAUAACAUUCGGAAACAAAUGCUAAUACCGCAUAACAUAUAUUUACGGCAUCGUAGAUAUAUCAAAGGAGCAAUCCGCUGUAAGAUGGGCUCGCGUCCGAUUAGAUAGUUGGUGAGGUAAUGGCUCACCAAGUCUGCGAUCGGUAGCCGGACUGAGAGGUUGAACGGCCACAUUGGGACUGAGACACGGCCCAGACUCCUACGGGAGGCAGCAGUGGGGAAUAUUGCGCAAUGGGGGAAACCCUGACGCAGCGACGCCGCGUGAGCGAAGAAGGCCUUCGGGUCGUAAAGCUCUGUUCUUGGGGACGAAGGAGAUGACGGUACCCAAGGAGAAAGCCCCGGCUAACUACGUG